rnacentral:rRNA from 1 species
GGUCCGGCAUAAUCGGAUUACUGGGCGUAAGCGCGCGUAGGCGGUUUGUUAAGUCAGAUGUGAAAUCCCCGGGCUCAACCUGGGAAUGGCAUUUGAGACUGGCAGGCUAGAGUGUGGUAGAGGUGAGUGGAAUUUCAGGUGUA